rnacentral:rRNA from 1 species
CUGAACGCCUGGCGGCGUGGCUAAGACAUGCAAGUCGCACGGGCCCAGCAAUGGGUCAGUGGCGAACGGGUGAGUAAUGAAUCGCUAAUGUACCCCGGACUCCGGGAUAGCUACCCGAAAGGGUAGGUAAUACCGGAUUGACAUACUCGACAGGCAUCUGUGGGAGUCUCAAAGGUCCGCCGGUCUGGCGCAGGCGAUUUCGUAUCAGCUAGUUGGUGCGGGUAACGCCCACCAAGGCGACGACGCGUAGCCGGACCGAGAGGUUGGCCGGCCACAUCGGGACUGAGACACUGCCCGGACUCCUACGGGGGGGCUGCUAGUAACGAAUCUUCCCCAAUGCACGCAAGUGUGAGGGAGCGACGCCGCGUGAGGGAUCGAAGUCCUUCGGGAUGUAAACCACUGUCAGAGCUACCAAGUUCUGAGGAGCUCCAGAGGAAGGGGCGGCCUAACUCUGUGCCAGCAGCCGCGGUUAAGACAGAUGGCCCCGAGCGUUAGGCGGAAUCACUGGCUUAAAGCGUGUGUAGGCGGACCUGUAAGUGUCUUGUGAAAUCCCACGGCUCACCCGGUGGAACUUGCUGGGCAUACUGCGGGUCUUGGGCCGUCCAGGGGCAACCGGAACAAGCGGUGGGAGCGGUGAAAUGCGUAGAUAUCGCUUGGAACGCCGAAGGCGAAAGCAGGUUGCUGGGGACGCGCCGACGCUGAGACACGAAAGCCAGGGGAGCAAACGGGAUUAGAUACCCCGGUAGUCCUGGCCCUAAACGAUGUCCACUAGAUCGCGGCGCCUUUGACGGGCCGUCGCGGUCGGAGCAAAGUGUUAAGUGGACCGCCUGGGAAGUACGGUCGCAAGGCUAAAACUCAAAGGAAUUGACGGGGGCUCACACAAGCGGUGGAGCAUGUGGUUCAAUUCGAAGCAACGCGCAGAACCUUACCUGGGCUUGACAUGCUCGGAUUAUCCCGGUGAAAGUCGGGUAGGCCCCGCAAGGGGUACAACGAGUACAGGUGCUGCAUGGCUGUCGUCAGCUCGUGUCGUGAGAUGUCGGGUUAAGUCCCUUAACGAGCGAAACCUUUGCCCUUAGUUACCAUCGGGUUAUGCCGGGGACUCUAAGGGGACCGCCGGUGUCAAACCGGAGGAAGGUGGAGAUGACGUCAAGUCCUCAUGGCCUUUAUGCCCAGGGCCACACACGUGCUACAAUGGCGUCGAUAAAGCGACCCGAGAGCGCGAGCUGGAGGAAAUCGCAGAAAUGACGCCCCAGUUCAGAUCGGAGGCUGCAACCCGCCUCCGUGAAGUUGGAAUCGCUAGUAAUCGCGGAUCAGCCACGCCGCGGUGAAUGUGUUCCUGAGCCUUGUACCACACCGCCCGUCAAGUCAUGGGAGCCGGGAAUACCCGAAGCCGCCUCACCACAGAGGUGUCUACGGUAGGCUCGGUGACUGGGACU